rnacentral:rRNA from 1 species
AUACGUAGGUGGCAAGCGUUAUCCGGAUUUACUGGGUGUAAAGGGCGCGUAGGCGGGGGUGCAAGUCAGAUGUGGAAUCUAUGGGCUUAACUCAUAAACUGCAUUUGAAACUGUAUCUCUUGAGUGCUGGAGAGGUAGACGGAAUUCCUUGUGUAGCGGUGAAAUGCGUAGAUAUAAGGAAGAACACCAGUGGCGAAGGCGGUCUACUGGACAGUAACUGACGCUGAGGCGCGAAAGCGUGGGGAGCAAACAGGAUUAGAUACCCUGGUAGUCCACGCUGUAAACGAUGAAUACUAGGUGUGGGGGGACUGACCCCCUCCGUGCCGCAGUUAACACAAUAAGUAUUCCACCUGGGGAGUACGGCCGCAAGGUUGAAACUCAAAUGAAUUGACGGGG